rnacentral:rRNA from 1 species
GAUGAACGCUGGCGGCGUGCCUAAUACAUGCAAGUCGAGCGAACAGACGAGGAGCUUGCUCCUCUGACGUUAGCGGCGGACGGGUGAGUAACACGUGGAUAACCUCCCUAUAAGACGGGGAUAACUUCGGGAAACCGGAGCUAAUACCGGAUAAUAUAUUGAACCGCAUGGUUCAAUAGUGAAAGACGGUUUUGCUGUCACUUAUAGAUGGAUCCGCGCCGCAUUAGCUAGUUGGUAAGGUAACGGCUUACCAAGGCAACGAUGCGUAGCCGACCUGAGAGGGUGAUCGGCCACACUGGAACUGAGACACGGUCCAGACUCCUACGGGAGGCAGCAGUAGGGAAUCUUCCGCAAUGGGCGAAAGCCUGACGGAGCAACGCCGCGUGAGUGAUGAAGGUCUUCGGAUCGUAAAACUCUGUUAUUAGGGAAGAACAAAUGUGUAAGUAACUAUGCACGUCUUGACGGUACCUAAUCAGAAAGCCACGGCUAACUACGUG